AUUUUUCCUGCAUAAACUAAAACAAAAGAUUAUAUGAAAGAAGAGUUUAGGAGUGACUUGGACCAUAGAAAAAGUCUGCAAUGUUCUGGGUGGCUUCCGACUGCUGCCCUUGCCCAUUCACCAUGGGGCAGAGCUGGAGGGCUUGUUUGUGCUCACCAGCUGCCUUCUGCCCCAUAUCCAGCUUCCAGUGCGGUUUUUGAAUCUCCCACAGCGGUGGCCUCAGCUGACGUAAUAAGCUGGCCAACACCCCAGCUUAAUCAACAGCCACUUGAAGAGCCAGUGCAACGUCAGCUCGCGCAGCUCUUUCUCCAUCCCAGUCUGCCUCCUAGAACACGGUUGUAAACUGGAAUCACAUUCUGCACCGGACUCUGUAUUUAAUAGGAUUCUAAGGAGCUAUGACAGCAGAAUUGGGCCCUUUAUUCACAUCUGGAAUAAAAGACAGUGAGUGUGGGUUUGGGUCUUUUUUGUUCCUUCCCUCUCACCCCUCAAAAC